rnacentral:rRNA from 1 species
ACUCCUACGGGAGGCAGCAGCUAAGAAUCUUCCGCAAUGGACGAAAGUCUGACGGAGCGACGCCGCGUGGGUGAUGAAGGCCGGAAGGUUGUAAAGCCCUUUUCUAUCUGAGGAAUAAGCCUACGAGGCAAUGCGUGGGUGAUGACGGUAGGGUAGGAAUAAGCCCCGGCCAAUUACGUGCCAGCAGCCGCGGUAAU